GUUGUACUUGGUCGUCAGUUUUGAGGCUGCUUGAGAAUAAAGCUCGCAGGGAGGAUGGACAGGAAACACACUUAGGGUAGAUAGUUUCCUAGCCUACGUGGGCCCUGUGUGCCUUAGUGCGCCCGAUCCUCGCUUACAUGUAAUUUCCUUUUCCUAGGUGAUACUUGCUCGUCUUGCUAUUUCCUAUGGUUUACCCAUGUAUCCAUCGAAAGCAACUGCCCUCCUGCCACUCUCUCCGUCAAGCUCAAACAGACGGGAGGGGACGACUUGGACCAUUUCAGUUAUGCAGAUGCAGUUCACAUUAUAAGAAACAGGAUCUAGUCACAUAACUAAGUAUGACAUGGCAUAACAACUUUCUAACCCAGUCUGAACGGUAGAGCUGGAGGAGCUGGGAUUUGCUCGUCCUCCUACACAUACAGCAGUAUCCUAAUCGCCAAGCAUUGCAGUGCAUUAAUCUUAAUACAGCACCAGUGUACUAAUCCUGAUCCUGGAUAUGGGGUAUUUAUCCAUAUCCUAGGGGCGGGGUUCUAAUCCUAAUCCUGUGGGUGAGGUCCCAAUCCUAAUCCUACACUAGGGUCCUCAUCCUAAACCUGCCCUCAACUUUGUAUCCUAAUCCUGCCCCUCUUUCCGAAUCCUAAUUUCUGCCUGCCCUAUGGCAUAAACAUGCCGGUUACCGACCGUUUGGGGCCCAUUAACCCAACCGGCCGGUUGAAUGGCGUUAACGGCCCGGUUGGGUUAACGGUCGGUUGGGUUAACGGUCGGUUGGGUUAACGGUCGGUUGGGUUAACGGUCGGUUGGGUUAACGGCCGGUUGGGUUAACGGCCGGUUGGGUUAACGGCCGGUUGGGUUAACGGCCGGUUGGGUUAAUGAUCAGUUGGGUUAACGGUCGGUUAAUUGGAUUAAUGGUCAGGUGGGUUAAUGGUCAGGUAUUCAUCCUACCUAGCACCCUGCCUGCAUGCCUACACACCUGGGACAGUACUGUUAUCACUGCCUCCCACAUCAUCUUGGCACCAUGCCAUUAAGCAUAUUCAUAUAUGAUUCAGGUAUAUACCUAAAAUACCUAAAUUUAUCCUUGUCCAUGUGUGCACACCACUGUCACCCGUGUCACCUGGCAUUCCUUGACUGCACAAGGCCAUCACACCUGUCACCUGUAAUCUGCAUAAACCUUCCUGCACAAGGCUGUCACCCCUGUCACCCGGCAUUCACAACAAUGUUUGUGUCAUCAACGUCAGCGUCACCACCCGGCAUUCACAACAAUGUUUGUGUCACCAAUGCCACCAAUGUCAAGCAGCAUUCACACAAGCCUGCACGCUUUGUUGUCACGCAGCAUUCACACAUGUGUACCCAAUUUGUCAGAUCUGUCACCUGGCAUCCACACAAGCCUGCGCGCAAUGUUGUCACCCCUGUCACCCACCAUCCACAACAGCCAUCACGCAAUGUCACCCCUCUCACUCGGCCUUUCAAUGUAUUAUGGGCCCAGAAGUCCCACUCUCAAGCCUGCGCGCAUUAUUGUCACCCCUGUCACCCAGCAUUUCAUGCAAUUGUCGCCCAUAAGCAUAAACCAGGCCACCAACUCACAAGCUUAAAUGCAACAACUUAAAGGCAAUACUAGCUACACAAGCUAUGCUAGCCCCUGCCCCUGCCCCUGCCCCUGGGGGGCUUUGCUCCAAGCCCUUUCCCUUGCUCCUGGCUGCCUCGCCCCCUGCUUCUGCCCCUGCUGGGGGUCUUAGCUCCUUCGACACACAGGCCGUACGCGCCAGUAUCCACUAACUCUGGAGCAGAGGUAGAAGCCUUUACCCUCUUUGCCGGCUGUCCCCUGGCAGACUGCUCCAUCACCACAGGCCUGUUACCACUUGGGCGCUUAGGGUGCUGUUGCACACUCCGCUGCUUUCCACUUCCACCCACCGUCUUCUCAUCCAAUUCCUCCUCAGACAAUUCGGACUCACUCUCCUCCCCCUCCCCUGUGUCAACCUCACCCUCUUGCUGGGUGCACUCCGGGCUACUACCCUCACUCUCAUACUCCUCCUCAUCCUCUGACAGUAGACGCGUCUCUUUUCGUAUCCGUGCGAAUGCCGGCUCUGGAAGCAGGCGCCGGCGGCUAGGUUCAUGCAACUGGGCAAGAGUGUCGUCCAUCCAAUCAUCCGCCGGUUCCUCUCCUACAGUUCCUGUCAUCACGUCCACCUCCGGUCCCAUAUCGGGCACACCAUCUCCUUCUGUGGGGUUGACCUCCAACUCCCCACCUGCAGAGUGUUAUACAAUAGUGAGGUGAUACAGUACAUAGGACAAUAUACUAGUUUUCGAAGGGCCUUACCCGCGGGUCCAGAGCAGUAGGGGCCCUCAUGGUCGGUCUUGUGGAUGAUUUCAGCACUAUGAACUUAUUUCAGAAUACAGGACUGACUCUCUGUUUCCUGCUUGAACUAUGUAUGGAAGGGGCAAACCGCUGUAACUUGUGCGUGUUUCUGCUAAGUUUUCCGCACUGUUGCAUUCUCAAAGCCAUUCUUUCGUAAAACCGUCAUAAGAAUGCUUGAGACUGGCAUAAGAUCAUUCUCAGCAGCACCAGCAUUCUUAAGCCGUUCUUAGCAUUCUUAGCGUUCUCAGGAACGUUCUUUAGCACGCUUCCAUUUUGGUAGGGGGACACAGUGAUGCUAAAUGGAAUGUCUUCACAAUAUACGGCUAAAGUAAUUUAGCCAAACAAUUUAGUGGCUCCUGUAUUUCAAUUUCGAUUUGUGUGUACGGUCAUCGUACCUAUCUAUGAGUAAUUUUUAGCAUUACUCAUACUACAUUCUCAUCUUAGAUAUCUCAGUAUUAAUUUCAUUUUGGCUCAUGCCAGGUUACCGACAUCGGUUACCGAUUACUGGGGACGGUUAACGGAUAACGGUUCGCCCGGUAAUCCNNNNNNNNNNNNNNNNNNNNNNNNNNNNNNNNNNNNNNNNNNNNNNNNNNNNNNNNNNNUUAUGGUCGGUGGGUUAAUGGUCAGGUAUUCAUCCUACCUAGCACCCUGCCUGCAUGCCUACACACCUGGGACAGUACUGUUAUCACUGCCUCCCACAUCAUCUUGGCACCAUGCCAUUAAGC
rnacentral:lncRNA from 1 species